UACGGGGGGAGCAAGCGUUGUUCGGAUUUACUGGGCGUAAAGAGCUCGUAGGUGGUUUGUCGCGUUGUCCGUGAAAACUCACAACUCAAUUGUGGGCGUGCGGGCGAUACGGGCAGACUGGAGUACUGCAGGGGAGACUGGAAUUCCUGGUGUAGCGGUGGAAUGCGCAGAUAUCAGGAGGAACACCGGUGGCGAAGGCGGCCAGCUGGGCCAUUGCUGACGCUGAUGCGCGACAGCGUGGGGAGCAAACAGG
rnacentral:rRNA from 1 species